rnacentral:rRNA from 1 species
UACGAAGGGGACUAGCGUUGUUCGGAUUUACUGGGCGUAAAGGGCUCGUAGGCGGCCAACUAAGUCGGACGUGAAAUCCCUCAGCUUAACCGGGGAACUGCGUCUGAUACUGGAUGGCUUGAGUUUGGGAGAGGGAUGCGGAAUUCCAGGUGUAGCGGUGAAAUGCGUAGAUAUCUGGAGGAACACCGGUGGCGAAGGCGGCAUCCUGGACCAACACUGACGCUGAGUGAGCGAAAGCCAGGGGAGCAAACGGG